AAAACCCAUUUACUGCCUGGGUGCAAUCGUAAAUCUUAUCCGUAUGUAAGUGUUUAGUUUCCAAGGGACGCUACCCCGAGUCUGUGCUCUGGAAAAUAUAUUUUGUUCCUGUUGUCGGAGGUGAGAAGUGAACGUAUGGAAGAAAAUCUACCAUACUGUGCGUGCUGCAUUUACCAUGGAAGCAGCCAUGAGUAACGGUGCCACAGCAAUGGAUAUGGAUCUUGAAGGAGAGAGCGUUGCUAUGGAUAUUUGUUGCACUAGUGAUGAAGGUGACCAGGAAGAGAAAAAAGGACAGGAGGACAGAGGUGUUGAUGCAUCAUUGCGUGAAACAGACAUACUGCAUUUGACGAGAGUCUGUGAGAAACGCCUAUUGCAGAAAGGUCAAGGUCUGUCCAGCCCAGUGCCAGGAGCAUCUUGUAAAAUCUCUUUACAGAUUGCAGGCGGGACAUGCGAAUGUGAUGCUCAAUCACUUGGGUAUCCGUCUGGUGAGUCCUCAGUGCAGAUAGGAGAGGGGGACACACGUCUGUCAAGUAUCAUAGACAUAGCUCUUUUGCGCAUGAAGCGUGGUGAAAUCAGUGAGCUUAAAAUAUAUAGAGAGCUGGGCUGUGAGGAAUACACACUGUUACACAUCACACUGCUUGACUUCAGUUCUGCAACUUCCUACUGGCGCAUGACACCAACGGAAAAAUAUGCCACUGCAGUGCGGCACAAAGAAAGGGGCACGUUUUUGUUUAGAGAGGGUCACAUUGAACCUGCAUUUGCCCGCUUCUCCGUGGCAACACGACUCCUGUUGUCAGCUCAGCCGAGGUAUUUUUCCGAGGACGAAGAUGGAGAAAAAUCCUGUCAACAACUCCUAUGCCAGUGUUACUUAAACCUUGCAGCAUGUCAGAUGAAAACUGGCUGCCAUAAUCACGUGGUUACAAACUGUUCCCAUGCUUUGGAACUCGAGCCCUCCAAUGUGAAAGCCAGAUACAGGCGAGCGUCGGCUCUUAUCAGUCUUGGUGAUUACAGCUUGGCCAAAGAAGACCUUGAGAAAGGAUUGCUGCAAGAGCCAUGCAAUCGUGUUUUGAAUGAUCUUCUGCAGACAGUCAGUGCAAAGCUGUCACAGAGCAAUGCCUAUUUGGCCAAAGGACUAAGUAAGAUGUUUGCUUGAGGCUUCAUAUCUUCAUGCCAUUCUUUGUGGAGACCAUAGUAGAGUGGCAUAAGUUCAUUUUUCCUGCAAGGACACUGGGACCAAAUGCAGUGAUCUUUGAUACACUCAGCAUAAGCAUACCUGCUUCAUAAUUUUUGAGAUAGGCAGUUGAAGUAUUACUUAAAGGUGAUGAUGUAUAGUUCUACAAUUUGUGGACCAAAACAACAGAAAUCAUGGCUUUAACUGAAUUUUUCUUGUGCCAUUUUUACAUGCUGGAUUAGCUUGCUGCAAUGUUGCCUUAGUUUAUUUGGCAAAUAAGGAAAGUCACCAGUCAUGUUUUGUGAUGGUUCUGUUUUGGCUAAACAAAUUAAACAUUAAAUUAAGAAAGAGAA
rnacentral:misc_RNA from 1 species